CUCUGAGAGGUGAAGCUGUGUGUGUGUGGGCCUCUCUGAGAGGUGAAGGUGAGUGUGUGUGGGUCUCUCUGAGAGGUGAAGCUGGGUGUGUGUGGGUCUCUCUGAGAGGUGAAGCUGGGUGUGUGUGGGUCUCUCUGAAAGGUAAAGCUGGGUGUGUGCGCGUCUCUCUGAGAGGUGAAGCUGGGUGUGUGUGCGUCUCUCUGAGAGGUGAAUCUGGGUGUGUGUGCGUCUCUCUGAGAGGUGAAGCUGGGUGUGUGUGCGUCUCUCUGAUCAUCUGCUCAGUCAGUGUUCCCUCAAAAAGCCUUUUUACAAUCCGUAUCGAUCCACCCCAUUUUACCAUUCAUACCAGCAACCUCCAGGGUCAUUAGGAAAGG
ensembl:lncRNA